rnacentral:lncRNA from 1 species
UCUACUAAUAAAGCAAAUGCUAUAGUCCAAUAAUACUUCUCAAAAUGAACAAAUUUGAUCUAAUGAAGCCGUUUAGUUUUAAAGGAUCAAAUAUCUUUUUUUUUCUUGUUAGUACAAGGAAAACUUCCAAAAUUCUUAGAAAAAUUUGGACCUGCCAAUCUGAAGGAGGGGGAAGACUUAAUUCUACACUGCACUGUCUCUGGAAGACCCAGGCCAAAUGUCAUUUGGACCAAAGAUAACAUCCAAGUGGCAGCAGGAGAUAUCAAAGUAUGCCCUUUGCGUUUUUUUCCUUGUUUACGGAAGAACAAACUUUUUCCUGACUCUUUGAAUUACGUGUUCUUGUGUUCAUAUAUUUUCUGUUUGCAGAUUCAGAAAUUAGGUGAUAGUUAUUAUCUUUUUAAGAAGAAUGUGAUCCUCUCGGACACUGGGGAAUACAUUUGCUCUGCAAGGAAUGCCGUGGGAGAGGCAACUUGUUCAGCAAGCAUCAUUGUGACAGGUAUAUGCUGCACACACUCUGCCAGGUGAACUUGUCUGAGGAAACAGAGAACUCGGCCCCGAGGUGAUGUUUGCAUUUCUUUUAGAAAAAGAGAAAAGAGAAGAAGUGUGCUGCAGAGCUGAGGCAAAAGCUAAAAGUGGACGGAAGUUUUUACCAGAACGUACAACCACAAAUAUAGAGGAGCAGGGCCCAGCUACACACAUCAGCCAGAAGACAAUGACAAAACAGUUUUCAGUGAGGGUACAGGACAAUUCACAGAAGACACUGUCCAGGAAUGGAAGAGCAUCAUUAUUCGGAGAAAGGAGAAAGAGAAGGCAGAGCAAUGGUGACCCCGGAAGAAUCUCAAGUGCCAAGACAGGAAACAAGAAGGAGCUUCUGGAGGUAUUCAUUCCACAAAGACUAAGCCACAAUAACAAUACCAUGAGAAAUAGAAUAUACAUGUUAAUGACCAUCGUUUUUUUAAGGACAAGAUUUAGGGUUAGGCCAGCAAGACAGUGCUGCCACAGUUCUGAGGCAAUAUAA